GUUAGUGAGUGUAUUCGUAACUCAGCCAGCAAAUAAAGAAAACAAGUUAAAAGCACGUGGUUGGUAAGUUUUCUCAGAAAAGCAAUAUUUUGUUUUUCCCGAGAACCAACAUUCUGUGACGUAAUUCUUGGUGAUUCUAUUUUAUCGUGACGGAGUUGAAGUUUGUUGAGUUACGUAAAUCUCAGUCCGCCGAAACGUUGUCGUCUCUACUCCGAAGCACCAAGCAAAGAUAGUUGUUCACGCAGUGAAGUGCGAUCGAUGAAUUACAGCGUUCAAAAGAAUAGUCCAGAUAACUGAGAUUGACAUUUCGACAUGCCUCGUGGUAAAAGACGCAAAAAUAAAGGGAGAGAGAGAAGCGCUGACUCACUGCAGCAACCGAGAGAUGUGGUACCAGUUCAGGCGGAAAUUGAUACAACCACAUACUUGGUGAAUAUGGAUCAAAACUGCUUAAAAGAUAUCCAGCUUAGAGUUAUGGCCUUGAUGGAAAGAGCACUGUUUUUCCGUUUUAGGGGUAGGCCUGAUUUAUCUUUUGAAGAAAGCAAGGCAGCUCUAAAUCUGAGCAAAGAGAAAGCUUUUCAAGAUGGAAUUUGUGGUGCCACCCUGCUAAUGUUAAUCACCCUAGAGGAAAAAGGUGACAUAGAAGCUGCUUUUCUACUUGCCGUGUCCUUAAAAGCGACUCAUUUCGAGGAAGUAAAGGCUCAUGUUCGAAGGCUAAGAGAAAUGUUGAAAAGAACUCUCGGCCAGAGCUUCAAGCUGGCACAGGACUUAAAGAAUGAUCUUAUGUCCUCUGGAAUUGAUUUUUUCGAAAAAGGCUCUUUUGGGGAAGCUGUUGAAUAUUUCAUUGAAGUUGUUCGUCUCUUCUGUGUGUUCAAUCGCGAGGUUCAUUUUUAUCUAGCCAGAUGUCAAUUUAGAUUGGGUGAGAAUUUCAAAGCAAAGGAGAACUGCCAGAAAGUAUUGCAACAUCACCCUGAUGAUCACGAGGCAAGAAACCUCAUGGACAGCAUUGAUGCCAUUAUCCCAACACAGAAUAAAGAUCAAAAGAGUACAAAGAAAAGAAAGUCAACACCAGUAUCUGAUGCUACACCACCUGUUACAGUUGUCCCAGAUAAGAAAUCUGUUAUGAACAGAAAACAAAAAAUGUGUGAGGAACAUCGCCGAAUUAAAGAGAUUGAAGAAAUUGGUACUGAAAUCAAGCAAAAAAUAGAAAUAGAUAAGGAAAGUGAAGAACAGAAGCAAGACGGGAAAAAGAAUUCAUUCGAUGGAGAAAAAUCACUUCCUUCCUACGAUAUCAAAUCAGCCAUGGAGGCGUCAAGUUUUAAAAGAAUGAGUAGUGAUAAACAGCCUCACCUCCAAGCCGCCAUUGCAUCAGGUGCAAGACCAAAACAGCGUAAAGCCAGCGAAGGAUCUGGAAAGACCAAGGUUACCAAUGCUGAAGGUGAUGAAGGUCAUGAAGGUCGUAAAAAAAGACAAAAGGCCAUCGAUAAACAUCAAGAAUCCUCAAAAGGCCAGAGAACGAGCUCAGCUGCAGAAGCCAUCAGGGACUGCAAACACAAGAACUUAGGCAUUUACCAAGGACAAAAGAAAAAAGAGGAAUGGCAGGUAAAUGAAAGCCAACGGAUAGCGGCGAAAGCUAGGCAGACAUUCAGAAAAGACUGCUCAAAUCAAGGUUUUGCUGCAGCAACAAUAUGUACCCUUCCCACCAGAGCUAAUUCAGAAACAUCUGUUGAAACGAAACCCUCAAAAUCUCAAUGGGAACGUCUUGAGGAAAUUUCUUCUUUGCAAAUCCAUCGCACCUUAAAUUUCGGAGAGGCAUCACAAAAAGAGUCUCUAACAGCCACGGCAGUUAAUAGAGAAAAAGGGGCUCAAACCAUUGCUUCCGACACAUUAUGUAAGAAUGGAUCAGUUCAGCAGUCGACAAAGAUACUUCCAGAGGGUGUAUCUAGAAUUUGUGCACAUUUUAUGCAAGAUAAUAGACGAGGGCAAGCCUUCCAGCUUCCGAAACCUUGUCUCAGGUGUUCAAAGGAUUCCUCAAAACAUUUGUAUGGAGUUUGGAGAAGUUCCAAAAAAGAAUGGCAGGUUAUGAGACCUUACCCAAAGGAGGUGAGCGCGAAAACUCCUUUCCGACCAUGUUGGUACUUUAUCGAGGGCCUUAAGUGUCGAAACGAUCCUUGUACCUUUGCCCAUGGCCAGAAGGAGCUAGAGUUCUGGACUAUGGAAAGAAAAUCAGACCAGGUCUCCUUUCGAAAGACUUCUAUGGAUCAAAAAAUACAAAGCAAAGAUUAUCGCGCAAACCUCGCUAACCCUCGGGAACGACUUGAAGAAUCGUCCAUCAUUCCUAACCACCCAAGACCUCCUCCAACAGGAGUUUACUACGGAGAAUUUCAAUUGUGUAAAUGGUGGAAUUCUGGUCAACGGUGUAGAUAUGGAAGAUUUUGCACCUACGCUCACGGAGAGGAAGAACUGAAAUCAUGGAUGGAAUACAAGAACGAGGAACAAGAAAAUGAAAGCGACGAGGAACAAACAUUGGACAAAACAGAAAGGGAGGAAGCCAUACCAAGAAGCGAGAUGGUGUACAGUCUACCUGGUGUCACAGUCUCUUGGAACAAAUCCCCUGUGGUAAAGAUCAUACCACGUGACGAUGAUCACAGUGAUAACUGCAGAUAUGAAUGGAUAUUUACAGUCACAUUUGAGAUAAGUCAAGUUGGAAAGUUGCGCCAAAUUGACCUCCUUCAUCGCUACCACGACUGCUAUCGGCUCACUGACGUUAAAGGUUUCGUAAACAACAAAUUGAUUUUCCAAGAAUUAUCUAAACAGCCCUGGUAUUACACUCUCCCGUGGCAUUCUGAUGACAGAAAGGGCCGAAUGGAAGUAGUCAUUACUGUCUCUUUCAAUACAACAAAGCUCAAUCAGACGUUUACACAGUGCCUCAGGUUUGACUUUGGGAAAAAACCGUACCUAUUACAAGGAUUAAACGUGGACAUAGCAAACAAGGAUGCACUGAGGGGUGUCUCAGAGAUAAGACAGCAACUUCAGCUGGAUCCCACUGUGUGGAAAGAGGGGUCAAUAGAUAUCGUACCUUGGCCAGAGAUCACUGACACAGGCCAUCACGAUGUGCUGUUGCUGGAGAAGUACCGACUGCCGGAGAGAAUUGAGAACGUCAUUUCGUUACAAAUAGUCGAAAGAAAGCUUAGCAUGGAAAACUACAAACGAGUAAUGCAUCAAUUGUUGUUUACUGAAGAGCUUUUCAGGAAAAAGGCUAUUUCAAGGUAUUGCCUUGAUGAUGUGCUUCUGCAAUGCAAAAGUAGUGUUUCUGACGGAAGAUCUGGAUUUGCAUAUGCUCCAAAGGGCGAAUUGUUUGGCAUUUUGAGUUUCCAGGAGCGUGGACUCCAUUGUCUGGAAGGCGCUGCAAGAAGGCUUCUUACCAGAAAUGUACAAUAUUCCUUGCUUAAGCCGACCGGGAGCGAUUCAAAGAAAGUGUACCAAGUUAAGGUAGAAAAUGUCGAGUUCCAAUUAGGGUGCAUAACCCUUCACUUGUCUCCUACAUUUUGUGCAGAACUUUUUGUAAAAAACGAUGCGUGCGUAUCAGUUGAUGCGCAAUUACAGCUCAAUCGGCAACCUCUCUGCGAAUGGCACGACACAAUCGAUAAACUGGGUCCCGUCCAUCUCAAUUUGUUGUUUCCAGGCAAGAAUACAGCGCAAGUCAGUCGAGAGGAUAUCUGCCCUAAAAACUGGCUUUCUUUGGACUCCAAAAUCAACGACAGCCAAAGAGAGGUAAUAAAUCGCAUUUUAUCGCCUCAAAACUCAUCGUCGCCACUGGUAGUCUUCGGACCAUUCGGAACUGGAAAGACAUUCACCUUAAAUCAAGCAGUCCGUCAAUUGGUAACAAGGAAAAGCAACCACAUCCUCCUGUGUACACAUACAAACAGUGCAGCUGAUAUACAUGUUGAACUGUUACACGACUACUUAACAAAACAAAAAGGACUUAAAGCGGGCAGGCCUUUGAGGAUUUAUCACGCAGAGAGAAGACUGAACGCUGAUUCAGAAAUUGCUAAAAACUAUAGUCUCAUCGAAAACGGCGCCUACGUGCUUCCCACUAGAGAGCAAGUAAUGAGGCACCGUGUGGUGAUCACCACAUUAGCUGUAUCGAGGAAUCUGCUUGAGCUACAUCUAAACCAUGGCUUCUUCACACACAUUUUGAUUGACGAAGCUGCCCAAGCCUUGGAACCCGAGGCGCUCAUACCACUCGCGCUGGCUGGACCAAACACAAAAGUGGUUUUUACUGGAGAUCAUAUGCAGAUGAGUCCAGAAGUGUACUCACCUUAUGCUCGAGAAUGGGGUCUGCAAAAAUCGUUACCAGAGAGAUUGUUUGAUCUUUUGUACUGCGAGAAACCAGGACGAAACAGUGAGAUAGUGUUUCUGACUGAGAAUUACCGGUGCCAUCCGGAAAUACUGCAAUUUUCUUCAUAUAAUUUUUACGGUGAAGGCCUGAAAGCCAGCAGCGAACAACCUUCACACCCAAGGUUACAACCAUUGUUAUUCUACUCUGUCUACGGCAUGGAAGAAGCCAGAGAAAAUUCGUACAUCAACGAAACGGAAAUUAAGGAGGUUGUAAAGAGGGUCAAGGAGCUCGCAAAUGAUUGGCCAGUGGAGUGGAAAGUCAAAGAUCUUUCUCAGAUUGGUGUGAUAUCUGCAUACACGAGCCAGGUGCGAGCAAUCCGAAAUUUCCUCAGGGAGGAGAGCAAGGAACUGGCAAAUGUAACAGUGGAAAGUAUUUACAAUGUCCAAGGAAAGGAAUUUCGUGCCUUGUUCAUCAGCACUGUCCGCACAUCCCUCACCUUCCCAAAGUUCGACACACCUGAAGAUAAUAGUCAGCAACUUUACUGGGAAUUCUUCUCUGACCCUAAACUCUUGAACACGGCUGUAACCAGAGCGAUGUCCUUAGUAGCCAUCGUAGGAGAUGCUAUUUCCCUGUGCAGUGUGGGUGAGUGUAGAGGAAACUGGAGAGAUUACAUCAGACGAUGUGACCAACUUGGGUCUCUGUUUGGAACAACGUAUAGAGAGAUAAGGAAAGUUGUAGAUGUCCCUUUCCCCAACAUUCCUUUAAAUCCUGAGGCAGCAGAUUUUGUUCCAAGUACUAACAAAGAACAGAAAUCUCGUCCAGCAGAGAGUGAGAAGUACCCUGAAGAGUUGCAGGAUAAAAUUGCGAUAGAAAACAGCCUGGAAAAUGCGAUGACCGUGUCGGGGAUUGAAAGAUGUCACACACGAAAAGUGUUUACGCUGGGAGAGGUCACGUCUAAUGAAGAAGAGAGACAGCAAAUAACAAACCCAUCCUUCAAGGACGGUGUGCAAGGUGAUUCCUUUCCAAAACAAGACGAACUUCUGUUGAAUCCUGAAGUUAAAAGAACGUCGGAGCUCAAGAGCGAUAAAGGUAGCACCGAUCAGAGUACUUUAGACAUACUCGGAAAUGCAAUGACCGUGUCAGGGACUGAAAGAUGUAACACGCGAAAAGUGUUUACGCUGGAAGAGGUCACGUCUGAUGAAGGAGAAGAGAGACACCAAAUAACAAAUCCAUCCUUCGAGGACGGUGUGCAAGGUGACACCUUUCCAAAGCAAGACGAACUUAUGUUGAAUCCUGAAGUUAAAAGAACGUUGGAGCUCGAGAGCGAUGAAGGUAGCAUCGACCAGAGUACUUUGGCCGUCUUCGAAGAAUUUCGUCGAGAGAGUUUUGAAGACGAAACAGUGUUUUCAAGAUACUUCGACAGGAUAAUACAGGCACUUGUACAAAAGUGUAAAGAAACUGAAGAGAGAGAAUUAAAAAAGUCCUUACAAAAUGAAGAAUUUCCUACCUUGCAAGAUGCUGCAACUCUACGCUCAAAGAGAUCGCAAGUGAGAUAUCAUCCGGGCAAACGUAGCAGUCAAGCGAAUUCAAGUUUUGCAAGCCUUUCUUCUGAAGACUACCAAAUCUAUAUCGACGCCAAAGGUAGGCAAAAGGCUCGACUUGUAAAUCCUGGAUUUCGCCAAAAGGAAUCUGAACGGUUGAAAAGGCUCAUCAAACCCGUUAAGCAAGAUGAUUUCCUCGACACAGAGGUUCUUUUGAACUUAGUGGGUGGUCAACCUCUCACUUACCUUGCUACUACACUUCGCCUCGAUUCCGAGGCUGUUCACAAUGCCUAUGCUGUGGUAUCGGACACGAAAACCCCCGACAUCAAAAUCAAGGGACUAGUAAAGAGGGUGUUCGACAUGGAUUAUGUUGUUGUGAGGGUUGAAGAUAAUCAAUCUGAUGAUGAACUUCCCUGCCGCCGAGGGAAAAUUGAGGGUGUGCUUCAUCACAUAAUUAGCCCUCACGAACGUCAGUUUGUCUGUAAGGUUGAUUACGAGAAUCCUGACCUUAUGCAUCCAAUCAAUAAGUCCAUCCCAAGAAUCGUAAUACUAUCAACAGAAGGUGUGAGAGGUGUGCCCCUCUACAAGGAAAUGCGCGAGGGUAACGAGAAGAAAGUCAAAGUCUACGAGAUGGAUCCCAAAGAAUUCCUUAGUGGAAAAUAUCUGUUUCUCGUACAGUAUCUACAAUGGAGACAAGAUUGCACUAGCCCUUUAGGCAUCCUAAUUCGAAAACUACCACAACAGCACACUGUGGGGGCUAGCAUGGAGAUUUUGUUUGCAGAGCAUGGAAUUAGAAAGUCAUUCGACGGAACUUGUAAAGAAGAAGUGGAAAGGAGAUUUCCAUCUUCUUGGUCAAUUCCAGAUCAGGAAAGGAAGAGGCGUUCAAAUAAAGUAAUUGAUGGUGCGUUUACCAUCGAUCCUGAAAAUUCCAAGGAUCUCGAUGAUGCACUUUCCCUGGACUCCUCCUCAGAUUCUCUGUACCGAGUUGGAAUUCAUAUAGCAGACGUAAGUUAUUUCGUGGAAGCUGGGAGCCAUUUGGACAAAGAGGCGUUCUUUCGCUGCAUAUCCUACUACCCUGGGCAUGACUACCAAAGUGUUCCGAUGCUACCACGUGAGCUCAGUGAGAAUCAUUGCAGCCUUCUUCCUGGUAAAGAUAGAUUAUGUUUAUCAGUGUUUGUUGACAUGUCAGGCGAUGGAGAAGUGGUGGGUGAGCCACACAUAGAACGCACAGUCGUAAGAUCCUCUUGUCAGCUCACUUACUCCGACGCCCAAAAAAUCAUUGAUGGUCAACAAAGCGAUCUCCCUAAGAUACCAGAAAAAGUUGAAAGUGAUAUUCGAACCCUGAAUGUCCUUGCCCAAAGUAGGAGAAAGCUGAGACUUCGAGAAGCAAGCUUUGAUCAUUGGUCAAACAGCGAUGAAACAGAGGAUUUUGAAGCCCACGAGUUAGUGGAGGAGAUGAUGAUCUUGGUCAACGAAAAGAUAGGAGAAUUUCUUUCUUCUCGAGAUCCACAAUUGGCACCUUUACGCAUUCAACUGCCACCCAAAGAUCACAAAUUGAAAGAAUGGGUUAAGCAGAAUGGACAGUUUAUCAAGUAUUCUCUGUUUCUCCAUGGCAUUUAUACGGAUCAAGCACUAGAACAUAUGUCGAAAGAUGUUCAAACAAGAGACGUCGCAGAGUUUAAAGUGACACAGUCAGUUUGGUCAGACCUCUGCAGCGCUGCAGAAUCUGGAGACGGAGCGCAACUAAAGAAACUGAUUUGCAAUGAAAGAAAUUAUACACAGUUGGCUGUUGUAAAGUCACAGUUUCAACGUAUUCAGCAGAAGGCUCAAUACGUUUGUGAGAGAGAUCAACCGGAGGAAAACAUUAUCCAUUUCUCUCUGAGCAAGCAGCGGUAUACGCAUUUCACGUCACCCAUUCGAAGGUAUAUUGACAUUCAAGUACAUAGGCUCGUCUUGAAUUUAAUCCCCGGAGAGCACGGUGCAGAAAGGCCUUCACAGGAUCACAUUGCCAAGGUGUGUCGACGUUCCUCGUUUGCUCAGGUUAACAGCAGAAAAUUUGACAGAGCAUGUCGUAAAGUUCAUUUGGCUGCGAAGCUGAAGGAAACAAGCCAAGAAGUAACAGCAAUUAUUUCUUUGAUCGAGGAUAAGAGAAUGAGGUUCGAAAUAACAGACCAAGAGUACAAGCAUUUACCGAAAAAAGAGACUGAAGUUAAGUUUAGCAGUCUUAACCCAUUCGAAUUCUCUAUCGAGCAGGAUGGUUCAGAAAUAGUCCUUACCUGGAAGUUAAGGCUAUACAUUGCUCAGAGAGAGAGCGAGACUGGAAAUAUUGAAAACCUCGAUGAUGAAAGGAAGAAAGUACUUCGUCUUUUAUCUAGUGGUAAUAGUGGAACAAGGGGAGUCCUACACUUACCCGUUAAAAAUUGGCAGAAACUCUUGGAGGCAGCUCAAGGAAAUGAUGACAUGACAGCAAAAAUGCUAAUUGAAGAAAUCAAAGCAAAGCACCAAAGGGCUCUGGGAAACCAACAUAACCUGCCCAAAACGGAAAAAUUUGAUCCAAAGAUGGAACACUUUUACGAAAAGCAAGUUUCUCUGAGGAAGUUCGACGUAGUGCAGGUUCAGCUGAGUACGCACAUGACAAAUGGGAUGUUACACCCACACAUGCAGCUUUUCAAGAUUAAUCCCGACGUCCAUAUUUGCAUUGAACAUCGCACAUAUCCAAGAAUGUGCUUUGCCUCCACAAAAAGAUACAGAGGAUCUCAGAGACGAUACUCGAGUUUAGACGAGUACAUCGCCGCAUGGGAACCAGUUCUUGCCAUGGAAGCCGCCACAGUAGCUGUAGACGAAGCUAACGAGUUUACCAUUCACGGUUUAGAUGUCCUUUGGAGGGAAGAGGUCAGUGAGACUCCACAAGGAACUUUCAGCCUUAAAAACGACUUCUGCGCAACUCGUCAAAUCGAGUUCCAUCCAGGGGACUUUGUUUGCAUCCGCGUCUGCGAAGACACUUACAUAAAGAAAACACAUUCUUUUUCCAAUGACAGCAACAAAUAUCAGAUAAAUUCCGCUUUUGAAGAACAACCCGGCUGGACGACUGCAUCCUUAAGAGGCAACUCACGAGUAGCCUUGUCGAGUAUUUGGGUGGGACACUGCGUUAUCAGACAUGUUGUGAUGUCCAAUGGGCCCACAAGGACAGUUGAAAUGGAUUUACAUCAAUCAGCAUCAGAUUUUCCCAAAGAGCUGUUAGACAGGAACCACCCCAGUACAAUUACCGUUAUCCACAGAUCACUUCCUCACAGACGAAUGUUUGAAGCUCUCAAAGAGCUAAGAAAUGCGUCCCAUCUAGCUCACGACAUAUGUACGGGAAAGGAGCGAAUUAAAGGGAGGUUUGAGUCUCCGCUUCCACCUGACUUCUCAAUUGUGACAGAACACCCCAACUGCGGAUUUCACCCACUGAAUGAAUACCAAAAAGCUGCUGUUAAAGAAGCACUUGUUGAGCCAUUUACCCUCAUCCAGGGACCUCCAGGUACAGGUAAAACAGUAACGGGCGUCCACAUCGCAUUCUGGUUUGCAAAAAAAAACAAGCAAGGAUGUCUCGGCUCUCACGAUGCCAUUGAUCCUGAUACCCCAGACAAACCGAGAGCACCACCUCAAGUUAUUUACUGCGGUCCUUCUAACAGAUCAGUUGACGUUGUUGCUGAAUUUAUGGUCAGAAUUCCUGGCCUCAAGAUCAUUCGUGUCUAUGGUGAUCUGCGGGAACAAGCAGAGUUUCCAAUCCCGAACAGACGUCAGUAUCUGAAGCAGUCCAGCGAUGAUGGGACCGAAAUACCUGAGAGGCUGAAAAAAGUUUCGCUACAUCACAUAAUUCGAAAACAUCCAUGUCCAUAUGCUGAUGACCUUAGGAUGUAUGAACGGAAGUUUGAGGAUGAUAGGAAGGAAAAGCAGAGGACCAGCGAUCAAGAAGUGGAAACGUAUUGCAAGUUAAUUGGUAAAGCUGAAACUUGGGCACUUCAAUCGUCAGGAGCUCAGAUUAUACUGUGCACAUGCUCGGUUGCUGGUAGCCAUAGGAUUAUAACAGCCUGUGAUAACGUUCAACAAUGUAUCAUCGAUGAAUGCGGCAUGUGCAUGGAACUUGAAUCUCUUGUACCAAUCACUUUCUCAAGGGCAAAGCAAGUGGUGUUGAUUGGUGAUCAUAAACAGUUACAGCCUGUUGUUAAAGACCAACAGGCAAUGACGCUUGGUUUGAACAUAUCAAUGUUUGAGAGGCUUUCUGACCGAGCACAAAUGCUAAAACUUCAAUACAGAAUGCAAAAAGAGAUUUGCAGGUUUCCAUCGGAAUAUUUUUACGAAGGAGAAUUGAAAACAGACCAAUCUGUACCGAUCAAGGACCCAAUUUUACCGAGGUCUUUUUGGCCUCAUCCAAAUUUUCCUCUGGCAUUUUGCCAUGUCGAAGGCGACGAGGAAAGUACCGCCAUUAAGACAACACACAGCAGUGAGCAGUCCAAGUCAAAUCAGAAAGAAGUACGAAAAGUGGUCCACGUUGCUAGAAGCUUGAUUUUCAAGAAUAAUGUGUCCCCGUCAGAUGUCGUUAUCUUAUCGCCUUACAGAGAACAACGUGAAAGAAUAAGCAAAGCUCUGGAAGGAAAUAUAAAAUCCAAAGAAAUCCUCGUCACAACAAUCAUAAAAAGCCAGGGUAGUGAAUGGGACUACGUGAUCUUAUCUCUGGUGCGCUCGCUGAAUAAGGAUGAUUUCGAACCAGAACCCUCCAUGUAUUGGUUGCGUGAACAUUUGGGAUUCUUGACGGACGAGCAUCUAAUGAACGUCGGGCUCACGAGGGCGCGGAAAGGGCUCUGUAUCAUCGGUAACAAGAACUUACUGGUGCUUCAUCCCAUGUGGCAAGAGUUACUAGAAUUCUACGAACAAAGAAAAUGCGUAGUAAACGAAUCUGGCUGGCCUGUAAGCUUAAAAUCUUAACCAUAAUUUUGAAGAUUAUUCAAGAUGGGCUCUCUUAUUUUGAAUAAACCAUUUUUCUACGAAAAAAAGUUAACCUAAGCUGCCCUAAAUUCAUUCUUGUAGGUAUAAAUUAGUAGGUCACUUACUCACUUUUAAAUGGCCUCAACAUAUGUAAUCUCCCUCUAAAACACGUCAAAUGGUCAGGAGAGUAUUCUUGCCUCUGCUGAAUGGGAUUCUGAUCCAUUCAAAACCGAAUCCUCCAAUCUUUAUUGAAAAAGGAUACACGGUGCUGUCAGGGAAAGGUGUUAACAUAAAGGACAAUUCAAUUUAACUAUGUCACUCGAUUCAAUCAACUACAGAACACAAAAUAGCAUAAUGCAUUGAAAAUCAAGAAAAGAGUCGAAAUUUAAUAUAAUAUUACAAAUAAUGAGAAUUUUCUACAAUAUUUUUUUCCACGGAAAAUUGAUAGCCUGGUUACGUACGUGCUACGGUGCAUCCAGAGAAAUCAAUCAAACGGUUUGCGUUAUUAGAUAAAGAAUUUUAAAACACAUGAAGCUAUUAAAGAAGGCUUUAAAUGCUUUUAAUAACAACCGUAGUUAGUAACCAAACCAUGGCUUACUUUGCAAAACGAUUCAAUUUGAAUGAAAAUGUUGGUUCAGAAGUUAGCUUUGUGUGUUGGAUAGUUUUGAUAUUCUUGCACAAAUGCUUUUCAAGACACACCUCAAAUAAAAUAUCGAAACAAUA